GAUGAAGAACGCAGCGAAAUGCGAUAAGUAAUGCGAAUUGCAGAAUUCCAGUGAGUCAUCGAAUCUUUGAACGCACAUUGCGCCCGCCAGUAUUCUGGCGGGCAUGCCUGUCCGAGCGUCAUUUCAACCAUCAAGCCCCGGGCUUGUGUUGGGGACCUGCGUCCGACGCAGGCCCUGAAAACCAGUGGCGGGCUCGCUGUCCACACCGAGCGUAGUAACUAACCUCGCUAUGGAGUGGCGCGGGCGCCUGCCGUAAAACCCCCAAUUUCACAAGGUUGACCUCGGAUCAGGUAGGAAUACCCGCUGAACUUAAGCAUAUCAAUAAGCGGAGGA
rnacentral:misc_RNA from 1 species